UACGUAGGGGGCUAGCGUUGUCCGGAAUCAUUGGGCGUAAAGAGCGCGUAGGCGGCCAGAUAAGUCCGGUGUGAAAGUCACAGGCUCAACCUGUGAAUGCCGCUGGAAACUGUCUGGCUAGAGUCCGGAAGGGGCGAGUGGAAUUCCUGGUGUAGCGGUGAAAUGCGCAGAUAUCAGGAGGAACACCAAUGGCGAAGGCAGCUCGCUGGGACGGUACUGACGCUGAGGCGCGAAAGCGUGGGGGAGCAAACAGG
rnacentral:rRNA from 1 species